rnacentral:rRNA from 1 species
AUUGAACGCUGGCGGCAUGCCUUACACAUGCAAGUCGAACGGCAGCACGGACUUCGGUCUGGUGGCGAGUGGCGAACGGGUGAGUAAUAUAUCGGAACAUACCCUAGAGUGGGGGAUAACGUAGCGAAAGUUACGCUAAUACCGCAUACGAACUAAGGUUGAAAGCGGGGGAUCUUCGGACCUCGUGCUCAUGGAGUGGCCGAUAUCUGAUUAGCUAGUUGGUGAGGUAAAGGCUCACCAAGGCGACGAUCAGUAGCUGGUUUGAGAGAACGACCAGCCACACUGGAACUGAGACACGGUCCAGACUCCUACGGGAGGCAGCAGUGGGGAAUUUUGGACAAUGGGCGCAAGCCUGAUCCAGCAAUGCCGCGUGAGUGAAGAAGGCCUUCGGGUUGU